rnacentral:lncRNA from 1 species
ACAUAUAAUGAUUUUUUUUCCAUGAUAGCUGGUUUACAGUGUUCUGUCAAUUUUCUACUGCACAGCAAGGUGACCCAGUUACACAUACAUGUAGACAUUCUUUUUUCUCACAUUCUCAUGCUCCAGCAUCAGUGCCUAGACAUAGCUGCCACCUACUCUACAUUUUCCCCGAUUCACAGUUUUUCUUUUCUGGCUUCCUCACCAGAAUGUGAGCUCCAGGAAAGCGGGCAUUUGUGUCUGUUUGUUCAGUGCUGUACCCGCCCCCCCCUCCCCAGCCCUCCCUCCCUAUGCCUGGAAUAUAGCAGGUGUUCGAUAGAUAUUUUUAAACAUACAAGAGGCUGAAUUUAUAUCAUGUCUCAAAAGGGGCGGGGGGCUGAGAUGUGCAAAAGUCUGACAAAUUCUGCAGCCGGGAUACCCCCGGGGAGAGCUCUGGGGGCUUCCCACCUGCUUCCCUCUCGGUAACAUUCUUUUAAAGGCGUCCCCCAGACUCUCACACUUUGAGUUGUCCCAGAAUAAAUACUAUUCAAUCAGCCAGUCAAGCAACCUCCCCCCCCCAAAAAAAAAGAACAUCUGAGGCUGUUUCCUACCAGAGCUUUCAGAUAAAUCAAUCCUCUGUGUCCUCAACAGGUGUAUUUAUGAGCAAUUUCAGAACAAGGCGUGUAAGUCUGAUACUAGUGGGAAAAGGCAGUGCUGGCCCUACAGAAAUUUCUAUUUAUACCCUUCCCACAGCAGCACCCAGCAGGCGCUCAUUUAAUGAAAAAGACAAGCUCUUGGGCUACUGACCUUAAGUGGGAUAAAACUGUCCUGAGCUGUGUCACGUUGCUACCAGCACGGCCAUAAAAAUGUCCCUCCAAAUAGGACGAAGCUGCCCUGGCUACAUUCGAAAGCUCCUGAAAAAUGAGAAUGUAUGCCUUCGUUACCCCCAUGAAGCCCCAAAACCUUCGGGUUGUGGGGGCACUCGAACCUCACCCCAUCUUUCCUGACGCCUUGAUUUUGCAGAUGAGGGGCUCAGACCAGGAGAGGGGCAUGUGGACAAAUGGCCAAGCAGCCUGCAAGCCACAUGCCCCACGGGGGGCUGAGCCGGACCUUGAACCCAGGCCCAAGUCCUCCGAGGUGCCUCCCACAAGCAGCAGUGACUUCCGCACAGCCUGGAGGAAAAGCCUGCAUUCGCAGCCCUCAGAGGUGAGGCUCU